GUAGGGAAUAUUGGGCAAUGGUCGGAAGACUGACCCAGCCAUGCCGCGUGCAGGAAGACGGCCCUCUGGGUUGUAAACUGCUUUUAUCUGGGAAGAAAAAGGCCAUGCGUGGCAAAUUGCCGGUACCAGAUGAAUAAGCACCGGCUAACUCCGUGCCAGCAGCCGCGGUAAUAUGGAGGGUGCGAGCGUUGUCCGGAUUUAUUGGGUUUAAAGGGUGCGUAGGCGGCUGAUUAAGUCAGCGGUGAAAGACUUCGGCUUAACCGGAGCAGUGCCGUUGAUACUGGUUGGCUUGAGUGUCGGAGGGGUACAUGGAAUUGAUGGUGUAGCGGUGAAAUGCAUAGAUACCAUCAGGAACACCGAUAGCGAAGGUAUUGUACUGGCCGACAACUGACGCUGAUGCACGAAAGUGUGGGGAUCGAACAGGAUUAGAAACCCGAGUAGUCC
rnacentral:rRNA from 1 species